GACGAACGCUGGCGGCGCGCUUAACACAUGCAAGUCGAACGGAAAGGCCUGCUUUCCCUUGUGGAUUGCGGGUACUCGAGUGGCGAACGGGUGAGUAACACGUGAGUGAUCUGCCCCCAACUUGGGUAUAAGCCUGGGAAACUGGGUCUAAUUCCCGAUAGGACUGCAGGGUGGAGCCUGUGGUGGAAAAUGAUUUUCUAGUGGUUGGUGAUGAGCUCGCGGCGUAUCAGCUUGUUGGUGGGGUAAUGGCCUACGAAGGCGGCGACGGGUAGCCGGCCUGAGAGGGUGGACGGCCACAUUGGGACUGAGAUACGGCCCAGACUCCUACAGGAGGCAGCAAUGGGGAAUAUUGCACAAUGGGCGGACGCCUGAUGCAGCGACGACGCGUGGGGAUGACGGCCUUCGGGUUGUAAACUCCUUGCGACCGAGAGGAAGCCACCUGGUUGGAAGGGUGGUGACGGUAGUGGUAGAAGAAGCACCGGCUAACUACGUG
rnacentral:rRNA from 1 species